UUUAGAGCGACUUCCAUCAGCUUCUACGUGCUAUAACACUCUCAAGCUUCCAACAUAUAAGCGGUUAAGAACUCUGAAAGCAAAGCUUCGUUAAGCAAUCAAUUCUAAUGCUGGAUUCCAACUUUCAUAGGGGCCUGAGAUAUUUAAUUGUGCAGGUGGUUUACCAUUGUCGCUAGGCUUUGUGACCAUGUCCAAGAGAGGCUGGUAUAUAUCGAAGACUACAAGUUUGAGACCAGGAAACUUAUUCUGUAGGCUUAGAGAUGUGCU